rnacentral:rRNA from 1 species
GCGCAGGAAAAGAAACCAACAGGGAUUGCCUUAGUAACUGCGAGUGAAGCGGCAAAAGCUCAAAUUUGAAAUCUGGCGUCUUCGGCGUCCGAGUUGUAAUUUGGAGAGAUUUCUUCGGGGUGAACACCGGUCCAAGUUCCUUGGAACAGGACGUCACAGAGGGUGAGAAUCCCGUGUCUGACCGGUUGCUUCAUUCCAUGUGAAGAGUCUUCGACGAGUCGAGUUGUUUGGGAAUGCAGCUCAAAAGGGGUGGUAAAUUUCAUCUAAUGCGACAUAUCGGUGAGGGGCCGUUUUGUGGUUUUGGAGUGAUCUAUCGAAGGCACCUAACGUUGCUUAUGAUUAUUGAAUCUGUUCAAAAAAGUGUGAGAACUAAUUUCUGGAUUUCCACUGUUUGAUCAAAGAAGAACUGGGAGGAAGACCGACCCCCCCAUAUAUCUUCUGAAUUGAUAUUGGAGCGCGUGAUGUUAAGGGGGAAAGAACGAUCCUGGGAAUUCCGAACAUGUGGGAAGCCAUCAAAAUCCUCCCGAAGUUCUGAGAGGGAAUCGGAGACUCAGGAUCAUGUUUUACUUGUCGUCACUUGUUUUACAGACGAAUAGGGUCAGGCUGUGAACACGAAGAUAAGCGCG